rnacentral:rRNA from 1 species
UACAGAGGGUGCAAGCGUUAAUCGGAAUUACUGGGCGUAAGCGUGCGUAGACGGUUGCGUAAGUCAGAUGUGAAAGCCCCGGGCUCAACCUGGGAAUUGCAUUUGAGACUGCGUAGCUAGGGUGCGGAAGAGGGAAGCGGAAUUUCCGGUGUAGCGGUGAAAUGCGUAGAUAUCGGAAGGAACACCAGUGGCGAAAGCGGCUUCCUGGUCCAGCACCGACGUUCAGGCACGAAAGCGUGGGGAGCAAACAGG